GAGAGGAGGACUCUCAACCCCUUCAAGGGUGCACCCCCAGUGAUCUAACUUCCUCUUCUGCUGAAGCUGCCCCCCCAACAGCAGAUGAGCCUUCAGCACGGAGCCUUUGGGGGACACCCCAAAUCUAAACUACAACUCUGUUCUUCUCAGCUAAGACACCACUUCUACUUCAUUAGUGCUAGCAGCCUGGUGGGCAGAAGUUGUCUGAUAGAACGAUGCUUUCAGUUCCCUUACGCACAAGGGACUGGGAUUCAGAGGGGAAUCUGACAAAGAUCAGAAGCAAAUUAGUUUGACCCAGCUUUCCUACACUGAGAGAUGAUCAAUAUCUGAGAAAGACAAAAGCAAAAUCUGUGUGAGAGCAAGGAGUAUUGAUACCUUCUAGAUCAGAGAGGAGACACAUCGAACUCUGCAACUGCAGAAAUAGGGCCCAGCUACUGUCUGUUUCUUCUCUCUCUCUCUCUCUCUCUCUCUCUCUCUCUCUCUCUCUCUCUCUCCCCCUAUGUGUGUGUGUGUGUGUGUGUGUGUGUGUUCACAUGCAAGCAGGUGUGUGGGUGUGUGUGCAUGCAUUUACAUGUUCACGUGCAAGCAGAUAGGUGUGCAUGUUUCAUGUUCAUGUGCAAGCAGGUGUGUGCAUGUGUAUGUUCACAUGUAAGCAGUAUGUGUGCAUGUGUGUGGAUGUUCACAUGCAAGCAGGUGUAUAUGUGCUUGUAUGUGCAUGUUUACUGCAAGCAUGUGUAUGCAUGUUUACAUGCAAGCAGACGUGUGUACAUAAGUGUGCAUGUGUAUGCAUGUUUCACAUGCAAGCCCUUGUGUGCACAUGCAAAUGUGUGCACAUGCACGUGAAGGCAGGAGGAUGACAUUGAGUGUCUUCCUCAGCCUGCUCUCCACUUUGGUUUUUGAGACAGGGUCUCUCAUUGAGACUGGAGCUCACCAAAUCAGCUAGACAGGCUGGCUGACCUGUCCCCAGCUCUAGAAUUAUAGGUGGGCACUACAGUGCCUGGCUUUUUACAGGGGCGCUUCAGACUUAUGAAGCUGACACAUGACUGACUGAGCCAUGUCCCCAGGGUUCCCAGUUGCGGUUUCUACAUUAGAGUCUGAAUAAAUUAUUUUUUCUCUCCAAUGUGGCUUUUAAUUAUCUACUGAAGCUUUUGGGGCUUAAUGAAUUGUUUCACUUAGCUAAGUGUUAGGAUUACUAUAGAAAACGCUUACCAUAAUGUGUGCCUAUUCUGGCAGAGUCUUCCCUCCUUUCCUAAGUUGGAAACCAUUUUGGGGGGGCAGGGGAGCUAACGUUUGAUGUCUCUGGGCACCCAUUCAAGGUGGGAAUGACAAUCUGUUCUGGAUUAAUCUAGGGAUAAAACACUUUUAGCUUCAUUUUCGAGUGAAAAUUCAACCUUACUAGCAAUUAUGCCAUGUUUACAUAAUCUACUCUGUGCUAAAACCCCUCAAUUUCCCCCAGCGUCAUCACAAGCUACGAGCAGUCCACAGGUGUAGAAUCAGAUAACGCUAUAAAAUUGCCCCCUUUCAAGUGCUGAAACAAAUUCUGUUAUAGAUGGACUGAAAAUGUAUUCCAGAGCUGCAAAAUUCAGUGAUCAGAUUUUCGGUCCUAGCUACAAUGCAGUAGAGGACCUAAAGCACAUUCAAUGUAGGAGGUGACAGGACAAGCUGGGGAUGUUGCAUAUGCUUUAAGUUCUGUCAUCCGUGAUCAUGAAUUGAGUAAAUUGGUAUCACCAGCAGACACAUCUCUUUGCCCUGUAUGCUUAGUGUCUUAGCUAUGGUGUGCUGUAGGGGUGUUUCUUUCUAGGUCCAGUUUAGUUGGAGUUCUGUGUGUUUCUUUUAUCUGUAUGUGAAUAUCUUUUUUUUGGUCCGGGGAAGUUUUCUUCUAUGAUCUUGUUGAAUAUCCACUCUACGUCACUGAGUCAGGAUUCGUCUCCCUCGUUGAUGCCUCUAACCGAAAAGCUUGAUCUUUUCUUAGUGUCCCGCAUUUCCUGACUGCUCCUCUCCCGUGUCAAGUUUUUCACGUCCUUUGUAAUCACAUCCACACCAUCUCCAGCUUGGUUCACUCUAUUCGUGAGACUUCCCCUAGGGCAGUUGGGUUCUCGAUUCCAUCUUUAUUUAAACCCGGGUUCUCUUCAGUAUUUCAAUCUCUUCAGUGGACUCCAUUUUCAAAUCCUGGGUUGUUUCUAUCAGCCUUAAGUUUGUGUUUUCCUGGGCAUCUCUCAGGCAUUUAUUCUCUUCAAGUUCUCUCUCUUUAAGACAAUUAAGCGUGUGUGAGCCUGUGCAUGUGCGCGUGUGCAGGCAUGUGAAUGUGUGAGUGUGUUCUUUAAAGUCCUUGAAUCUUUUGAUGGAGUUUUAAAUUCUGCAUCUCGGGGUUCACCUAAGUCAUUCUCAUUGCCAGACAAUUCUAUAAGACGGUUGUGUGGGUUGGGGGCAAAUGCUGCCUUAAUUAUUCCUGUCAUUUCUAUUUUUGCAAGUGGAGUGUGAACUUCUCUUGUUCUGUGUCAGAUGCACACAGGGCAGGUUGGGGCAGAUCAAAGGCCGUGUGGGUUGGGUCUAGACAUUGGCUAUGUCUUAGAUGUAAUAAAAUCCAGGUCUGGGGCUGGCUGAUUCGCAGGAGUUGCAUCUUGGUCCAAGCUUGGAGUUUGUGGGUAGAUGGUAGGAGUAUAAGAUCCUUAGUGUGUGGCUUUCUUUCUGGUGGGCUCAAAAUGGCUUCUCCAUAUUCUUCAGACUCCACAUCCUCAUUCUAGGCAGGGGGAAGGAGUGAGAACCAUAAUGUGACUGUCAGCCAGUCUUUGGCAUUUCCCCCAUUGAAAAACAAUUGUUUUUCCUAUCAUCUCUACCCAUGAAUGUAGCUCACAUCUCAUUGGCCAGAGCUGUGCUACUCAGUCCCUCCUAAGUGCAAAGGUUGCUGGGAAAUCCUCCUUACCCAGUGUUUUCCCUAUGUAGAUGUAUCCGCUUUUCUUCCCUGGAGACAUCCCCAGUUUGUUCUGUCACCUCCUACAUUGAAUAUGCUUUAGGCUUGGUGCUCAGCCAGAACCUCAGCACUCUUCUGGUUCCUUCCCCUCUUCAGAGCCACAGCCUCUGCUUCGCUUGAGCGUUACUCCCUUGCAGGCAAGACAUACCCAUCAAUAGCUUUUGGAAUAGGAAAUUAAAAUUUUCAAGGUGUCUCAUGGCUAGAAAUAUCUUCUAUGUCGUGUCACACUUGAAUGGUAGCUGGACUAAGUAGAGGAUUAGAUUGACAACCAUUUAUUUGUCUUUGUCUUUGGACAAGGUUGAGGAGCCCGAUGUCACUCUUAACCUAGAAUGUGUACAUACAUAGAUAUUUUUAUUCUCUGAGCAUUUUUAGUAUGCUCUAUCACUGGUAUUUUGAAGAGGAUUUUAAAGAAUUUUUAUUAUAUUGGGCACAGUUGGGCUUUUUAAAUUUGAAGGUAUAUGUCUUUCAAAUCUAGGAAAAAUUUCAUGGUACUUCUUUGACCCUUUCCUUAGAUCUACUUUCUGUAGUGACCAACACUGUUGCACUUCUCAUGUUAUCUUUUGUGCUGUCUUAUUUUUGUCUUCUGAUGACUUGUGCUUGCUAAACCAAUGCUCUCUGCUAUGGAGCUAAGUCCCUAAGUCCACCUCUUACAUUUUAUUUCACUUUCUUAUAAUUCCUGUUUGCAUGAUAUAUCUUCUUUUUUUUAUCAUUUUUACUUGUAACUUACCUUAUUGUUUAUGUAGUGCACAUCUCUUGUAAAUACACAUAGUGUAAACACAGUGGAAUCUUUCCCUUUAUUUAAUCUGAUAACCAUUGCCUUUUAAUAGCCCUAGUUAGUCCGUUCAUAUUUAAUGUAGUUAUUGAUAUAGUUUGGAUUCAUGCCACACUAUUUUCUUGUAUUUGAUGUUUGUGGUCUUUUUCCUUUGGUACCUCUAUUUCUGAAAUCUAACAGCUUAAUUGAAUACCUGUUCUAGUAUUGACUCUCUAUUGUUAUGAUAAAACACUAUGACCAAAAGCAUCUUUGGGGAAAUAAAUGGUUUAUUUAGCUUGCAUUUUCAGACAUCCUUCUCCAGGGUCUAGUCUGCUUGAUCCUCUCCUUCACUCACUUACCCCAAAACCACCUAGAUCUAAUCUGGGUCCCACAACCAGUGCCCUAGUCUAGUCUGGCUAACCCUGCCUGUGUCACCACCAAUCCCUAGACUUUGAUCAAUACCUGCUUUUCCUAUCCCCAACAUACAGGUUCCCCCACACCACAACCAAUCUCUCUAUCCUACCAUACCCUGUAUAUCUGUCUCCAGGGUGUAGCCAGAUGAGUCCUUAUUCUCUCAUCCUCUCACCUGUGAAAUUUUAUUUCAGAAUGUACUGAUGUCUCAGCGUCUCUCAAAAAUGAUACAAGAACCUGUAGGCUUUUGUUUUUGUUUUUGUUUUUUAAAGUUGUCAGAACACAAGGGAGAGACAGAGAGAGGGUAUGGUAUUGUGAAAAGAAACAUUUCCAUGACCCUUGUUAGUCAGCUCUCAGUUAUUGUAAUAAAUACUUAAGGAAAUCAACUUAAAAAAAGCAAGGUUUAUUUCAGGUCUUAGCUCUGAACCCUCUAGGCCAUAGCCAAUUGGGCCCAUUGUUUGAGCCCUAGGGUGGGGAGUCCAUGGUAGAGCAAGACCAGUCUCUUCCAGGAGGAGAAAUGAAAGGGAGGAGGUAGAACCCAGGGUGCCAUAGUCUCCUUCUAGUGCACACCCAUCAUGAUGGAAUUACUUCCCACUAGGCCACACCUCCUAAAGGCUCUUCGCCUUCCAAUUGUACAGAGCUAGGAACUAACCCAUUAAUAUGUGGGACUUUGGGCAUUCUAGACACAACUAUGGGGCACCUUCUUUAUCCACCAUCAUGCCCCUGUGGUGUAAAGAAGCAGGAGAGCAAUAACUGGACUCCAGCACUCAGGUAAGUCUAUCAAAGGCAACCCUACUUCCCCAGAGCAAGUGGCUUUAUUUUUGCCUCACAACAGGAUCACAUUUUAGAAUUCCUUCUCCUCUUUCCUCCUGCCUCAAAAUGCCUUCUGAAAAAUAAACAAUCUGAGACCUAGCCCUCAUCCCUCCUGGCCUCCACAUGACUCUCACAUCUAAUGUUCAACCCUGAGCUCUGAGGACUCUGGCGUCCCAUCCAAACAGGUUUGAUGCAACAGCUCGAAUGUUUUUAACGUUCUCUAAUGUUCUCUAAUGUUUUAGAGAAUUAUAUAACAAAAAUCUAAUUGCCGGGAGCAAGAGCAAAGAUUCAACCUUUAGCUUUUUAAGAUGUAGGUGGAUUCUAUCCACACAGGUAGGUACCUUUGAAAUUUUAAUUUUGAAGCCUAUGAAUUCUUCAGAAGAAGAUACUCAGUGAACUGUGAGGACUGACAGCAAGUCUUGUCAUUUGGAACACCCUCUUCUCAGAAAAAUUAGGCAUGCUUCAAAAUAGGAAGGGGAAAUGCCAGAAAAUUGCCAGGUAUGUAUCUUUAUAGUUCUUAUGACCAUGGGGACUAGUACUGUUGGUGUUCAACAUGGAGUCGUGGAGGACACAGUUAACUUGGCCAUCCUGUUCUGAAGUUUGAGUUGGAACUCUGAUUGCUCUUCUCUCUUUUCCUCUACUCUGGGAGUUUUGUCAUCUUAUCCAGAGAGUCAUGGGUCAUUUUGAUGACAGACUGACCUCAAGUCUCUGCUCAUGUCUCUGUUUUAUGGCUUAGGAUUCCGUCGUACAGAGGUAAUUGAGAAUGAAUUCCUGGAGAGCCCUAUUGCACACUGAGAAGACAUGGAGAUUCUUUUUUUUUUUUUUUUGGUUCUUUUUUUCGGAGCUGGGGACUGAACCCAGGGCCUUGCGCUUCCUAGUUUGCGGCCUUUGGGCAAUACAGAGAGAACCUGCCUCAAAAAUCGGAGCAAAUCAGAGCAAGCAAACAGCAACAAUGCAGGCCCGCAAAAAAGCGUGUGUAAAAUUACCUUCAGCUAUGUUCACAGAGCAAUCUCAGGGCCAAGCGAAAUGGAAUAAAGGACUCGGACUCUUUCCGUAUGCCCUGUGCCCACAUAGACGGAGACUCCACGAUGGCCAGCAUAUCCAAGGAGGCGGCUCCUCUAUUAGACUUGAAGGUCCUGCACGGGCUCGUCCUUCCCAGUGAAGUCGCCAAUGUGCAGCAGGCCUGUUGCAGGUGAUGGAGUCUGCACUGCCUUUGCAAUUCCCCCUCAAAGCUCUUCCGUGUCCCGAAUGUCCCUUGAGCACCUGUGCUGUAACGCAGAGAGGGUCACACCGUACUGGACCUGCACUGCCAAGGCACAUCUGAUGGAUGUUUUGUGACUGCCCAGCUCCUCUCCACACUGGGACCUUUGAGUAUGUGUCUGCUUGGCAAGUCUGGUGCUUUUCAAGGUCCUAUCUCGGUAUUUAUAUAAUGAUUAUGGAGGAAACCAGUAAUAGAGACAGGAGAAUGCUCUGGGAGGACCCAAAGGUAGGACUCAACACAGUCUAUGAAUUUCAAAGAGCAGGCUUGCAUUGGCUAAAGCAGUAGAGAGUGAUGAGCUGGCUGACUUUGGGGUACCUCUAAAGUCAUAUCAGGGGGCCUUCUGCUCCGCCUGUGUAAGAUUAGGGUGCAUCCAGAGAUGGACAUCCUGGAUCCCCUCGGUGUUUCUUCGAGCUUUUUUUUUUUUUUUCUUUUUUUCGGAGCUGGGGACCGAACCCAGGGCCUUGCGCUCGCUAGGCAAGCGCUCUACCACUGAGCUAAAUCCCCAACCCCUCCCCUCGAUGUUUCUUAACCUGAUCAAUUUGACGCCCAACCUUAAUCAGCCCUCUUUCCCUCCCUUCUUCUUCUUCACUAGUUUCUUGUUUUCCUUCUUUCACUGAGAAGAUGAACAAACUGCUCAGUUCAGGUCUCCUGGGGCUGCAAGCUCUCGGCAACGGAGGGCUAAUGAAAUCUAAUGAUUGGCUUUCUGGGGAAAAAUAGUUUGUUGCUUCAUUGACCUUAACAAUGGGUGGCAUACUAUUUAUGACUAGUAAUAAAAAUGUAUACUAUGAUUAUUUGCAAACUCGACGCUUUCAGUAGGCACUCACGAAAGGUUUCUGUUGAUUUUUCCUUGGGUUAUCUACCCAAGGUCAAUGUUUGAGCAAUUCAACCAUAACAGGAGAAACAGAGCUGAUCCCAGUCUGUGAAAUCCCCUCAUAAUCAGUUUAUCCUAAUAUCUGCCCUGUGGUCAUCUGCUGAUUUACUACUGCAUGUGGGUUAUGACUUUGAAACAGAGAUCCAGUAAGGUUUCUGAUGCAAUCUUUCAAAUAAUAGUUUUCCUUAAGACCACCUUGGGAAUUCUUGGGCAUUUCACUCUUGUCACAGCCCCAGAUUGCCCCUGUCUCUGGGAGUGCGAGCCACCUGGUCAGAUUCUUUUCACACCUUCCCCAAUCACCAAAUUCUGUUUGCUCUAUGCCGUGUUCCAUGCGAAGAGUCUGCAUCUGAUACACCUGAUAACUCCCCAUCCUGGAUGCUUGGAAAUCAGCAGGCAGGAGAGACGGGGGCUUCUGAGUGGAGCUCUGGCUUCUUUCUGUGGUGACAGCACCCCUGAGAACCACUCUCCCAGCUCAGGCCGAAGUACUGGUUCCUGGAGGAGCAAACUGCGUUGCCGAGGGGAAGGAAGAGUGGACUUAGAGCAAGGGGUCUUCUCUAGGCUUUUGUUUUUCCACUUGAUUUACACAGCGUCUGUGACGUGAGUCUCUAAGGUCAAUGUAACAAUCACAAGCCAAACCCAACCCUUCUCUGUGCCUUGACCACUUUCUUUCCUUGCUCCACACAUCUGGUUUGUCCAAAAGCCAAUUUGGAGAGGAAGGGUAAGAAUUUUAAAAAAGACUGAACCUAUAAAAAGCAUUGGUAACA